GAUUAACGCUGGCGGCGUGCCUAACACAUGCAAGUCGAGCGGCAGCGAGUUUUACACUGAAUUCUGGAAGCUUCUAGUUGAAAGAGAAGAUUUAUUCAAGAAUUUUGUGUAAAAUGUCGGCGAGCGGCGGACGGCUGAGUAACGCGUGGGAACGUACCCCAAAGCGAGGGAUAACGCAUCGAAAGGUGUGCUAAUACCGCAUAUGGUCUUCGGAUUAAAGCCUUCGGGCGCUUUGGGAACGGCCUGCGUAAGAUUAGAUAGUUGGUGGGGUAAUGGCCUACCAAGUCGACGAUCUUUAACUGGUUUGAGAGGAUGAUCAGUCAGACUGGAACUGAGACACGGUCCAGACUCCUACGGGAGGCAGCAGUGAGGAAUCUUCCACAAUGGGCGAAAGCCUGAUGGAGCAACGCCGCGUGCAGGAUGAAGGCCUUCGGGUUGUAAACUGCUUUUAUAAGUGAGGAUUAUGACAGUAACUUAUGAAUAAGGAUCGGCUAACUACGUG
rnacentral:rRNA from 1 species